AUUGAACGCUGGCGGCAGGCCUAACACAUGCAAGUCGAGCGGAUGAAGGGAGCUUGCUCCUGGAUUCAGCGGCGGACGGGUGAGUAAUGCCUAGGAAUCUGCCUGGUAGUGGGGGAUAACGUCCGGAAACGGGCGCUAAUACCGCAUACGUCCUGAGGGAGAAAGUGGGGGAUCUUCGGACCUCACGCUAUCAGAUGAGCCUAGGUCGGAUUAGCUAGUUGGUGGGGUAAAGGCCUACCAAGGCGACGAUCCGUAACUGGUCUGAGAGGAUGAUCAGUCACACUGGAACUGAGACACGGUCCAGACUCCUACGGGAGGCAGCAGUGGGGAAUAUUGGACAAUGGGCGAAAGCCUGAUCCAGCCAUGCCGCGUGUGUGAAGAAGGUCUUCGGAUUGUAAAGCACUUUAAGUUGGGAGGAAGGGCAGUAAGUUAAUACCUUGCUGUUUUGACGUUACCAACAGAAUAAGCACCGGCUCACUUCGUG
rnacentral:rRNA from 1 species